rnacentral:rRNA from 1 species
AAUAGCCUAACGGCUGAACCAGCAACUUGGAAGAAUGAAAGACGCAAGUCUGUUGUAAUAUAAUAACAACCAAAGAUUACAAGAGUAACAACGUUACAUAAAGUUCUGGGUAAGUAUUUGAUAAUGACAUUACUUAUCUGUAAGUCUUGACUAAAUCACGUGCCAGCAGUCGCGGUAAGACGUGGAAGACCAGUGUUAUUCAUCUUGAGUUGGUUUAAAGGGUACCUAGACAGUUAAUCAAGCCUACAUCAGGGACUAAUUAUACUAGAGUUUGAUAGGAGAAGGCGAGAACGGUGAGUGGAGAGAUGAAAUGCAUUGAUACCACCUAGAUACUGACAACAGCGAAGGCAAUCUUUUAUGUAAUAACUGACGUUGAGGGACGAAGGCUCACUAUAAAGAACAGGAUUAGAUACCCCAGUAUUCAGAGCAGACAAUGAUGAGUGUCAUAGAUAAGUAAGUAAUAUAUUAACUAAUAAAAAGCUAAUCAUAUUAUAUUGCAUAUGUAUAAAUGAAAGUGUAAGCACUCCACCUUAAGAGUAACAUGGCAACAUAGGAACUGAAAUCAUUAGACCGUUUCUGAAACCAGUAGUGAAGUAUGUUGUUUAGUAAUUUGAUAACCCACAAAGAACCUUACCACGGUUUGUAUAAGUUUCUUAAUAAGGAAUUUACAAGAGUUGCACGGCUGUCUUCAGUUGAUAUCGUGAGAUUUUGGUUAGCUCCAUUUAAUCAACGUAAACCCUUACUUUAUUUUUUAUAAAGUGGUUCGCCGAUAUAUUGGCUAAGAUAACAGGGACUAAGACAAGUCACCAUGACCUAAAUACCGUGGGCUAUAGACGUGCCACAUAGUCCGUCACAAAAAGAUGCCAAAUUGCGAGAUUUAGCUAAUCUUUAAAACCGGAUACAACAUUUUAAU